GACGAACGCUGGCGGCGUGCUUAACACAUGCAAGUCGAGCGGAAAGGCCUCCUUCGGGGGGUACUCGAGCGGCGAACGGGUGAGUAACACGUGAGUAAUCUGCCCUUCACUUCGGGAUAGCUCUCGGAAACGGGGAUUAAUACCGGAUAUGACCAGGCCAUGCAUGUGGUGUGGUGGAAAGUUUUUUCGGUGGGGGAUGUGCUCGCGGCCUAUCAGCUUGUUGGUGGGGUAAUGGCCUACCAAGGCUUCGACGGGUAGCCGGCCUGAGAGGGUGACCGGCCACACUGGGACUGAGACACGGCCCAGACUCCUACGGGAGGCAGCAGUGGGGAAUAUUGGACAAUGGGCGGAAGCCUGAUCCAGCAACGCCGCGUGAGGGAUGACGGCCUUCGGGUUGUAAACCUCUUUCAGCACCGACGAAGCGAAAGUGACGGUACCUGCAGAAGAAGCACCGGCCAACUACGUGCCAGCAGCCGCGGUAAGAC
rnacentral:rRNA from 1 species